rnacentral:rRNA from 1 species
CCUACGGGGGGCAGCAGUAGGGAAUCUUCCACAAUGGGCGAAAGCCUGAUGGAGCAACGCCGCGUGGGUGAAGAAGGUCUUCGGAUCGUAAAACCCUGUUGUUAGAGAAGAAAGUGCGUGAGAGUAACUGUUCACGUUUCGACGGUAUCUAACCAGAAAGCCACGGCUAACUACGUGCCAGCAGCCGCGGUAAUACGUAGGUGGCAAGCGUUAUCCGGAUUUAUUGGGCGUAAAGGGAACGCAGGCGGUCUUUUAAGUCUGAUGUGAAAGCCUUCGGCUUAACCGGAGUAGUGCAUUGGAAACUGGGAGACUGGAGUGCAGAAGAGGUGAGUGGAACUCCAUGUGUAGCGGUGAAAUGCGUAGAUAUAUGGAAGAACACCAGUGGCGAAAGCGGCUCUCUGGUCUGUAACUGACGCUGAGGUUCGAAAGCGUGGGUAGCAAACAGGAUUAGAUACCCCUGUAGUC